AUGAAGGGUUAGGAAAAGUGUCCCCAUGGUGCUGGAUUGCAGAUACCUUUGCUACUUAUCAGAAGAUGUGAAGAACAAGGAACAGAAAGAUGUGGAGGCUCCUCAGUGAACUUCAAUAAACUAACCAUGCUACUAAGGCUAAGACAGAGAACUCCUGUCUGCUAACCAGUUAAACUAUUCAGCAGACUUCUUCUUGAAGCUCUCUGAUGGAGGAUAGAAGUGGCUUGAACAGAAGGGCGAGGGCUGAGAUAUAAGGCAUUACAGAAACCACUGCAGUUGAGAAGACAGAGGGAAGGACAGCUGUCAGAGCCUGUGCUUUCAAGUCUUGUGCCUGCUCUCAGAGUCUGAAGCACACAGCCAUUUCUCACCCUGAGGAAAUCAGGAAGCAGCAGGUAGAGGGUAGAGGGAGAUGGCAGACCUGGGGGAGGGCGAAGGGCCUCAUGAUGAUGGUGACUUCUUUCCUUAUUCUUGCUCCAGCAAGCUGCCGGCUACACUCAGCAUCUUCCCCUUUUCUGCUAAGGACAAAGCCUGUUCUGUUAUGAGAACUCGGCUAGCAGCAGCUGUAGUUUCAAAAAUAACCCAUGUGUAGAAAGAGUUUCUUCUUCAAUUUUCUUAUUAAAUAUGCAUGGGGAGGGGUAACUGCUAGUAAACAUUGUGGGGUUAUGAUUAAGAGAUCAAACAUUAAAACUGUACACCAACCUAUCCUCUUAUUAAAUAGAACACUUUUCUGCUCCAUGUUUACUAACUAGAGCAUGUUGUUUAGAAUGAAGAUAUGUAUGAACUGGAUAAAAAAGUAGGAAUAGUUUUGGGAUAUGUUCUCCUAAUUAUGGUUAAAUUAUGCUUUUAGGAACAUUAUUCCUUUUCUAUUGAUUUAUUUAUUUUUCUUGAGUUUACAUACCAGUGAAAAUGUGUACUUAUUGCAAAUGGGGUUCUUUAAAGCCCUCCAAAAGAAAUGCAUUUUUAAAAAAGCAAAUAAGAUAAAAAUACUGCAUAUGAACUGAUAAAUAUUUGACAUAUUCAUGUCCAGAAAAUUAUGUAAAUUGAAGAAUGUUAACCAUUGGGAACUUCAUCUGAUGCCCAAACAAGGUCAAUAUGCUUCUUAUUGUGAAGGCCAGUGUAUGAUCUGCAGACUGUAGUGCAUGCUUUGCAUGUGUAUUUUGUGUAAUUUAUGGUUAUAAAAUGGUGAGAAGGCCUAGGAGCUAUAAUUUAGAAAGACAAAACUACCUUAAAGCAACAAAAUGAGAAAGAAUGAUUAUAUAAGGUAAAGGAUCAUAAGAAGGAAAUUUAAUUCUUCAUAUGCUUUAUAAGUAUAUUACUAACUUGGUGCUUUUACCAUUUAUUGAUACUUUUAAAAAUUUCUCCUUUUCAAUUUGAGUCAUGAAACAUGCAUACACAGUUUUACUCAGGUAAAAAAUUGUGGUUUUUUUUGAGACAUUAAUUGAGAUUUAUUGAUUUCAUAAGGUGGGCAUAGAAAAAUGAGGAUUCUUAUUUAGGCUGGAAAUUUUUCUACUACUUUCCCUUCAACUUGAGGGCAUUCUGUCUUUUAAAGGAAACAGAAGAUAUUGGAGGAAAAAAGAAAUGGAAGAAGAAAAGGAAUAAAAAAGUACAGCAGAAAGGACAAAGAAAGAUCAGAUCCAGGACAGAGGGAAGAGGAAGGAUGUAGAGAGAAGGAAAUUGAAGACUGAGGAAGGAAAGAAGGGAAGAAAGGGUUCCUGGUUUGAAUUUGGAUAGUUCUCCUUCUCCAAAGGCCCAUGUGUCAAAGAUUUGGUCCCUAGAAUGUGGGUACCGGGAGUGCUAUGGACUUGUAAGAGUUGAGGCCUGAUGGAAGUUUCAUAGUCCUGUGGGCAGGCCCCUGGAGGGAAUUAUGCACCUCGGUUCUUUCUCCUUCACCCCCUACUUCCUGCUUUGUAAUGUGAGCAGUUUUCUCUGACAUAUACUCCCUGUCAUUACUAUCUGGCAUCUUUACCAGAGGCCCAAAGCAAUGGGACUGCUUGAUUUGGGACUGGAACAUCCAGAACUGUGAUUAAAUAAAACUUUCCCCUUCAUAAGUUAAUUGCCCCAGGUAUUUAAUUAUAGCAAUGCAAAGCUGAUUUAAUACAGAGGAAUGAGGGAAAAGAGCCGAUUUCUUCUCCAACUUCUUCCAGAAACAGUGUCUUGUUCUAAGCAGGCAUUCCUGUUAUUAUUGGAGGGGAGAUCACCCUAACUGGGUGGAGGAUAUGGCCAAUAGAAAAUUGUACCCUUAGAGGCCAGGCACAGUAGCACAUGCCUAUAAUCCCAGCAGCUCAGGAGGCUGAGGCAGGAGGAUCUUGAGUUCAAGGCCAGCCUCAGCAGUUUAUCAAGGCUCUAAGCAACUCAGUGAGACCCUGUCUUUAAAUAAAAUACAAAAAGGGGUCAAUGAUAUAGCUCAGUGGUUAAACACCCCUGGGUUCAGUCAUCUGUAUAAGGAUAUAUAAAUAUAAAUUUAUCCUUAGUUGAUGUCCAGGGAUCAUAGGGAACUGAAAUUUGACAUUUAAAGAGUAAAUUGUUGGCAAGGCAAGCUGGAUCACACCUGUAAUCCCAGUAGCUUGGGAGGCUGAGGCAGAAGAUUGCAAGUUCAAAGCCAGCUUCAGCAUCUUAUUGAGACCCUCAGCAACUCAGUGAGAUCCUGUUUCUAAAUAUAUAUAUAUAAAGGUUGGGAAUUUGGCUCAGUAUUUAGGUACCCCUGGGUUCAAUCCCUAGUACCAACAAACAAACAAACAAACAAAAAACUGUUGUCAUAAAAACCAUUUUUCCUGGGGCUGGCCUUGUGGCACAGCGGUACAGUGCUCACCUAGCACAUGCAAGGCCCUGGGUUUGAUCCUCAGCACCACAUAAAAAUAAAUAAAUAAGAUAAAGGUGUUGUGUCCAACUACAAUUAAAUUUUUUUUAAAAAAACAUUUUUACUGUUAUAUUUUCAAAUAAUAAUGUAUUUAGUCUUAGAUUUCAGAGUAAAAAAAGGGCUAACUUUUUUUUUUCUUUAUGUUUUACCAAAUCCUAUUUGCUUUAGGAACAUAACUAAAAUAAGAUACUAACAAAUACUGCAAAACAAUGCUUUGCAAUGACAACACAUUUGACAUGCUCUGGCAAGUGGCCCACUAUAUUUUAAAACCAAAAAGUAGAACAGAAGACUAUUUAGUUUCCAGUGACCUUACAAGGACAUUGGGUUGGUACAAGUGGCGAUUUAGUGAUAGAGAACAUUAGGAAAUAAAGAAGGUAAGAGUCUAGGGUUUUGAAACAUAAUCUCCAACAAGGAGACAAUCUGGUCUGUCUUACAGUGUGUGCUGGCACAUACCUGGUGCUAGUAUCCUGCUCUGCAACGUCAUCAUAUACUUCUUGGUCGUCUUCAACAGGCUUUGACGAUAGAGCACUGAGAGAGGAUUUCUUCCGUCUCAAAGAAUCAUAGUCAAUUUCUACAGCAGUUGUUUUAAUAUAGCCAUCUACCAAAAAGGAAAAGACUUAGGUUUAGGCAACUACCACUUACAUAUUUUAAAAUUGUGAAUAAAAUAUCUGUUGCACAUUUGUUCUUUAAAAUUCCCCUUUAUUUACCUGCUUUCAAUUCUGAAUUAUACACUUCCUAGGUGGACACAUUUUACUGUAUUCUGUCAAAGGUUUAUCCUGUUGUGUUUUGGGGUAAGUCUAGGGUGUAUUUUAAAGAUUUAAAAAUGACUCACAUGAAACAUUUCCCCAAAUUGUCACCUGAAUGAAGAAACUAAUGACCUCUGACCUCCCUAGAAUAAUAUACAACUUUACAUUGGUUCCCACUAAGAAUAUAAAUGAUGUGAAAAUGGGUCCAUUCUUGCCAUUUUAGAUUUUCCCACCUUUGACAACCCAGUAACUCCUAACUUGAUGGUAGUAGUUCUGGAAGAAUAUGAACAUUUAAUAUUGACUGAUGAAAAAAUAAAAACAAAAACAAAAAACCCUUCAAAGCCACAGGGAAAUGUACACUCACAUGACCCCCUUGCUGUUCGGCCCAACCAUUUUCCUUCAGGGUUGUCUGUGAUACGGAUUAUUUCAAUCUCUUCUCCUUGCUUGAAACUCAGUUCAUUCUUUCCGCCUUUGACAUCACAGCAAGCUUUUGCUAGAUGAAUGACUUGAAUAGGGCCCGUUAGCUACAAUGAGAGAGAAACAAACAAACAAACAAAAAACAGGUUUCCUUGCUAUCAGAAAAACUUAAAGAAUGCAGUUUGGAAAGAUAGAUAAGCCCACAACUUGCUAACCUGCCUAUAUCAACACUUUAACAGAAAUGUAGGGUAAAUGUCAUUCCUGGUGAAUGUUCUGCUAGGGGCAUUAGGGAAAACUCACAGAGGCCACACAGGACCAGCAAAGAACAGGUGAAUCAGUGUUUGGGGGCCAGGAGAGAGUGGCAGGCAUCUGUAGUCCAUAGGAACUUCAGGAGGCUUGCAAAGGCAACUCCUCAUAAUGGAAUAUCAUUUAAAUACAACUCUAUGCUGAGAGCUUUGUGUUUUUUAAUGGGAUAUGCUGGUGGUUUUUUGGUGAAGUGUUUUUCCUCUUUGCAUUGUGUAAUUAUUAUUUCUCUUUUUCUUUUCCUCCCUCCCUCUACCUAUCCCUUCCUUCCUUCUCUCUCUUUCUUUAUUCAUAAUCCAAAAAAUUGAUUUGGUUCAAUAGAUCCAAGAAAUUGACUGGACUCAGGGCCUUGGGCAUGCUAAGCCAGUGCUCUACCAUGGAGCUACAUCUCCAGCCCUGGGAAUAAUCUAAUUUAGAUCAAUAAUUCUAAACUCCUAAUUUCCUAAUCUUAAAUAGGUUUCUUGGAUCUUUUGAUAUGUAAAUAUGUAUUGUGAAUUUUGAAGAUGCUAUACCUUAUUUUAUUGAAUUUACAAUGGCAUGGUAUUAAUUAUAUACCAUUAAGAAAUUUUAAAACCUUAAAUUAGAGUAUGCCAUGAUAUUAGACAGGCUCAGUUCUCAGACUUAUCUAACUUUUUAAAAAAACUAAGCAUCUAUUAAUAUCUUAUGGAAGAAAUAUAUCUCCUAAAGUCAGUCUUGACAAACUUUUUGAAUUCAUAGCAGCAUGGCACACUAUUUUUCUUACUCAAAAAUAUUCUUUGAAUGAAUAAGUGAAUAAUGUAAAAUUUAUUUUUCCAAAAGAAGCAAAAGACCUCACAUAAUUCCUUGAAAACAAUGAGUAAUAUGUUCAUAAAAAGUGUAACAUAAAGCUGGGUUUGGUGGUACAUGCCUAUAAUCCCAACUACCUGGGAAGCUGAGGCAGGAGGAUUGCAAGUUCAAGGCCAGCCUCAGCAUCUUAUCUAGACUUUCUCUCAAAAUAAAAUUAAAAUAACAUUCUGAGGAUAGAGCUCAGAGGUAGAAUGCUUGCCUGGGUUAAAUCCCCAGUACUGCAAAGAUGAAAAAAAAUUAUAUAAUUUCUUUCUCUCAAGAAGUUAAUUUUCUUUACUUGUAAAAUAUAAACACUGGUAGCCUGCAUUCUGAGUAAAACAAUUUUUAUAUUCAAACUCCACUCAGAACUUACUUAUUGUAAGUCAGCUUUUUAAAAAUUUAAUAAGAGCAUAUAAUAGAUUCAGUGACUUUUGUGACUUUUUAGUUAAUUCUAUAACAAACUUUCUGUAAAAGUACUAUUUAUUCUUGCUUCACAGAAUAAAAAUUAAAAGAAAAAAAUCUGAGUCUUAGAGAAGUAGUAAGCCCAAGGUCAUAUAGCUCAUAUGUGCAGGUGGUUUUUGAAUCCACAUCUGUUGACUCUGUGUUGUGUUUUCUGCAUCAUGCAGUUGAAUCUAUAAUUUAAUAAAUAAAUCUACUAGGAAAUUCUAUGCAAAUCAAGUUGUUUUAAUUCCAAUCAUAUAUUAAAUGCUUCAGAAGAGUAAAUAUUUAAAGCAAACCUGAUAUGAAUUUAUGAAAAUAAUUUUUUUAAAUUCAGAUAAUUGCCCUAAAUGUACUUGAAAUGCCAGACUCAGAUCAGAUGGGCUAUGUUAACAAAGAUGGUAUAGUCAAGAAAGGACAGCUUGUGGUGAAAACACAUUGGGUGACCAUUUCAAAAAACAAUGUGUUCUGGUUUUGAUUUAUUUUGUUUUUAUUUCAAGUUGCCUGUUCCUAGAACUUUCUCAGGCAAACUGGGGAAAAUGGUUGACUCAAGGUUUGAAGUUGUUCGCCUCCGAGGAAGAGAAAUUGUUAGAGGAAGGAGGCACCCCAGUAAGACCCAGAACAGCUAGGGCAUAUGUUGAUACAAUACAAAAAUGUAGCCCAUGGCUUUUUAAAGACGGGUUAUUAAGUAUAUCAAUGGGACCAUCAUGGUAUCCUGUAGAAGGAUUUUUCUUCAACAAGAAAGAGAUGGCUAGUUCUGUUUACUAUACUUGUCUAAGAUCUUGUUUUUUACAGACAUCUGAUUAAUUUACAAAGCUAAAGUGUUAAAAUAUCAACCACUCAAUAUGAAAUCAAGUACUCUUUACUUAUUAAGUUCCAUAAGGUAAUAUAUUUAAACAUUAUGUGUGUUUUCAUAAAUUGGGAAAUGGAAAAAGGUUUAAUAUUGCUUUGGUCUCUGUGUCUUUGCUGAAACAAGGUUACUAAGUGUUAAUAUUCUAUCAUGUGUAAUUUAUAUACAAAUAGUAUAAGAAGUUUCAGUUGGGUUUCAAUUACAGCAUAAUAGUACCUUAAAAACAUGAAAGUAUUUCAUCUUAUUAAAGUGGAGUAAUCUUAUAAGGGUUGUUUCAGAAUGUGAUUUUAUAAAAAGCGUUAACGGUUAAAAAAGGGAUAUAAAAGGUUCAAGAUGUGGAAAUAUAUUCUAAUAUAAAAGGUUAAAGGUUAAAUAAAUGUUUCUAGAUGAGAUAAUCUCUGUGUGGUAAAUUAAAAAGUUGUAAAGGCCAUUUUAAAAGAUUUUGAGGAAACUAGACUUACUUUAAAAGCUUGAGAAAGGAAGAAAGAAGAAAAAGGUAUUUGUACAUGGCAGAUUGAGACAAAGCUUCUCAAUGGAGUAAAAAA